AAACCUCAAGUCAAGUAA
rnacentral:rRNA from 1 species